GUGUCAGCCGCCGCGGUAAUACGUAGGGAGCAAGCGUUGUCCGGAUUUACUGGGUGUAAAGGGUGCGUAGGCGGCACUGCAAGUCAGGCGUGAAAGGCGGAGGCUUAACCUCCGAGUUGCGUUUGAAACUGUGGUGCUUGAGUGAAGUAGAGGUAGGCGGAAUUCCCGGUGUAGCGGUGAAAUGCGUAGAGAUCGGGAGGAACACCAGUGGCGAAGGCGGCCUACUGGGCUUUAACUGACGCUGAGGCACGAAAGCAUGGGUAGCAAACAGGAUUAGAUACCCUGGUAGUCCAUGCUGUAAACGAUGAUUACUAGGUGUGGGGGGUCUGACCCCUUCCGUGCCGGAGUUAACACAAUAAGUAAUCCACCUGGGGAGUACGACCGCAAGGUUGAA
rnacentral:rRNA from 1 species